CUCCCNGGCGUCAACUUCCGCGUUUUNUCCGGUACUCCAUGGUUUUACCCACCCAACACCUAUUUGACAUNGAUUACNUUNGGGUUUANAAGCUNUUUCGGCCGGGAAAAAAUCGGUGAGGNUAAUAUCCUCAUCGGAUGAUGGUNCCGGACUAAGAAGCACCGGCUAACUACGUGCCAGCAGCCGCGGUAAUACGUAGGGUGCGAGCGUUAAUCGGAAUUACUGGGCGUAAAGCGUGCGCAGGCGGUUUUUUAANACAGGCGUGAAAUCCCCGGGCUUAACCUGGGAACUGCGUUUGUGACUGGAAGGCUAGAGUACGGCAGAGGGGGGUGGAAUUCCACGUGUAGCAGUGAAAUGCGUAGAGAUGUGGAGGAACACCAAUGGCGAAGGCAGCCCCCUGGGUCGAUACUGACGCUCAUGCACGAAAGCGUGGGGAGCAAACAGGAUUANAUACCCUGNUAGUCCNCGCCCUAAACNAUGUNAACUAGGUGUUGGGUGGNUAAAACCAUUUANUACCGCACCUAACNCGUGANGUUGACCGCCUGGGGNGUCNGNCCCAAAGGUAAAANCUC
rnacentral:rRNA from 1 species